GCCUGGGUGGCUCAGUCGGUUGAGCAUCCGACUUCGACUCAGGUCAUGAACUCGCGGUGUGUGGGUUCGAGCCCCGCGUCGGGCU
rfam:Felis catus isolate Cinnamon breed Abyssinian chromosome A3, whole genome shotgun sequence.